CAAAGGUUGCAGAUUUUGGGCUUGCUAAAAUUUUUUCAGAAAUUGGUGUCAGUCACAUCCCCUUCGAUCAAGAAGAAGCUAGCAUCUAUAUAGAUCCAGAAAAUUAUUAUUUUCAAAAUAUUUCUGAGAAGUCGGAUGUUUAUUCCUUUGGGGUUAUACUUCUGGAGCUUAUUACUGGAAGAAGAUUACUAUCUAAAGGCCAAGUUGAUAUCGUGAAUUGGGUGAGGACUCGAAUAAUUAAAGGAAAUUCAAUAAAAGUGGAUUACGAUAGUUUUGUUGAUUCUGCAUUGAAGGAAUAUGAUAAAAGUGAAAUGAAACGAAUGAUUUAUUGUGCU
rnacentral:misc_RNA from 1 species